rnacentral:lncRNA from 1 species
AGAGGGUGAAGAGAUUGAGAGCUAUAAGAAGAGAAAUUGUUGAGAAGGAAUCGUUCACUCUCACUAGAGAGGAUGCCAAAUCCGCCGCCAUUGAAGCCGCACUCGCCGCCCCUAAAUUACCUGUUCGUCUACCACCACCUUCCCCGUUCAUGGAAGUCGCGACGACCUCCGAGUCUGCCUCUGUCUCCGGUACUGUCGCUAAUGCUAUGGGUAAACGAUAUGCUCUUAGAUAACUUAACGAGCUUAGAGAAGCGACUCUUCUGCUUAAAUUUUAGCAUUUGAAAUUGAUCAGAAUCACUUAGUUUAGUUGAUAACUUUGAAGGUUUUUAGAUUUCACUAGUAUUGGCAAGGGCUUUUGGAAACAAUAAUUUCUGCUUCAUGCUGCUACCUUUAUCUCUUGGAAACUUUUGGUUAUGUUGUGUGUUAAGUGGUAUCGUUGUUUGCAGAUGUGGAAAUGGAUGAUGAGAAGCAUAACAAGUCUCUUAAGCCCAUCGGGAGGAAGUUGAAGAAGAAGUUUAAGUUGGGGAUGAAGAACCGUCGCAGCAAGGGCUUCCUUCGAGGCAAACGUGUCUAAGUUCCCAAGUUAGGUUCUGUUUCACCUCUGAUAACUAUGUUCCCUCUAGAUUCCUCAGACUUUCUUAAUUGUCUUAGAAAAUGUCCUUAUUUUAGGUGAGCUUCAGUGUUAUAAAUAACCUAAAAUACUUGAUUUUGAACCUAAGAAGUCUCUGAUUAUGCCUCCCAUAUUUCUUUUUCUUGCACCAAAAGCUAUCACCACAGCUAAAUGCAUUGAUAUCAUAGAUAGGAGGCUUGUACGAGAGCCUACCCCCAACUGGUUCAGAGAUUCUAGCCCAAUGUCCCUGAUCGUUCACUAAUUUUAAAUCACAGGUCUCAAACAGAAGGAGAAAAGAGAAGACAAGCUUACCCGGUGUAGAAAAGGAAACAAAACAACCUUGAGUUUGUUCCUAACAUACUGAUCAUUCACUUGGAAGUAGUAUUGGGGAUCAGAGAAGUAACGAGUAAUCUGUUCCAAUUUUCAAGAAGAAUAAAACAAGUUUUAAAUUGAUGAAAAUAAUCAGCUGAAAGAAGUAAAGACUUACAUUGCUCUGCACAUACUCAGAGCUUGAUCCAAGAAUCCUCUCCCCGUAGGCACCCAAACCGCCACGGAUAAAACCCGAGGCAGGUCCGGUGAAGGGAUUCCCAAACGGACCGGGCUGAGGGUUUCCAGGAGGUCUUGGCAUCCCUGGUUGAGGUCCCAUGUUGUUAUUGUACAUCUCUCUCUCUCUGCCCAUCAAAUCCAAAAUCAUCACAAAUUUAUCACCGUUUGCAUAUUAACAUGCUUAGUCAUCAUUUGCAUCUCAGAUUCAACACAAUUCUCUUCUAAUGUCAAAUCAAUAUUGUUAAGACUAAAAUCGAUCAUCAGAUGAUUUAAUCACCAGAUUCUUAUGUCGAAGCAGUCACACUAGUCUCGAUCACGACAAUGCGUAACCAAUUCAACCCUAGAUCUACAACAUUAGAAUCCAAAUAACACAGGCAAUCCGAGCUAAAUCCACCGGAUCGUAACGGAAGAAAACAAAAGAGAACUCGCAUGACUAAUAAGCGUGACAACAAAGCAAGAAAACUAACCCGAAGGUGAGGGGAAAGAGAUGAAAGCUUCGAAUCUUAAAUCAGAGCUUUCUUCUACGGGAAACAAUGGAGACUCUGCGAGAAAAUCAAACCGCCGAAAUGAUCUGCGCCGGGUGGGUCGAAGAAAAAGAAGGCCUGUGAAAUGUAUUCUUAACUUGGGCCUAUAAAUAUCCUUAAUGGGCCUUAAUAUUCAGGAGACAGCUAUUCUUGUAACCAAACAAAACACGAGCAAUUCUCCUCAAUUAGGUUCAAACGAUAUAAGAACGGAAUCUUAAAACCCCCUUUGCCUGUGGAAACCCUAAUUUGGCACAAGGAUGGCGAAAUCGAUGAGAUGCAAGAGGGUGAAGAGAUUGAGAGCUAUAAGAAGAGAAAUUGUUGAGAAGGAAUCGUUCACUCUCACUAGAGAGGAUGCCAAAUCCGCCGCCAUUGAAGCCGCACUCGCCGCCCCUAAAUUACCUGUUCGUCUACCACCACCUUCCCCGUUCAUGGAAGUCGCGACGACCUCCGAGUCUGCCUCUGUCUCCGGUACUGUCGCUAAUGCUAUGGGUAAACGAUAUGCUCUUAGAUAACUUAACGAGCUUAGAGAAGCGACUCUUCUGCUUAAAUUUUAGCAUUUGAAAUUGAUCAGAAUCACUUAGUUUAGUUGAUAACUUUGAAGGUUUUUAGAUUUCACUAGUAUUGGCAAGGGCUUUUGGAAACAAUAAUUUC